CCUACGGGAGGCAGCAGUGGGGAAUAUUGCGCAAUGGGCGAAAGCCUGACGCAGCGACGCCGCGUGAGGGAUGAAGGUCUUCGGAUCGUAAACCUCUGUCAGCAGGGAAGAACGGUCACUGUGCUAAUCAGCAGUGAAUUGACGGUACCUGAAAAGGAAGCACCGGCUAACUCCGUGCCAGCAGCCGCGGUAAUACGGAGGGUGCGAGCGUUAAUCGGAAUUACUGGGCGUAAAGCGCUCGUAGGCGGUAUGUCAAGGCAAGGGUGAAAUCCCCGCGCUCAACGUGGGAACUGCCGUUGAAACUGGCAAACUGGGGGGUGUGAGAGGAUAGUGGAAUUCCAGGUGUAGGAGUGAAAUCCGUAGAUAUCUGGAGGAACAUCAGUGGCGAAGGCGACUAUCUGGCACAUAACUGACGCUGAGGAGCGAAAGCGUGGGUAGCAAACAGGAUUAGAUACCCUUGUAGUC
rnacentral:rRNA from 1 species